CCUUAGCUGCCUGUACAUAACAAAGUAUAAAACUUGCACCUCAAACGCACAAGCCAAAAGCAACUGUAGAAGUGCUUCCUUUCAGAUUGUCUUGCCUUAACUUGUCACAUUAACAUUAUUGCUCAAGAAACCAUUUUCAUACUUGAUGAAACUUGAAAGUAACAGAAGAGAUUAAAUUCCGUAUUUGUUGAAAUUUAGUCAGUGAGAGAGAGGAAUCUUGGUGACGGUGAAUGCAAAAGCCCUCUCAAAAAUUCAACUUCAAAAACAAGUACAAAUUUCCACAUUUGCUUCUUUUAUGCAGUUUUGGUGAAUUGGCAGAGUCAACCCUACAUUGCAUAUUUAAGGGUUGUGGUGGUGGAAAUAUCAUCUAAAACUUGAGGUCAUGAUUUAUAACCUUGCUUGGGAUUCGUUAUUGAUACUUUGAUUUGAUGAGUAUGGCCACGGCCUAGAGUAACUAGUUCAAUGUCCUUCCACUAACCUUGACUUAAUUAGCCUAUAAUAUCUUGCAAUUGCAUGCAUUCGGGGUGAUUCAUGUCAUUUGUUGUUAUCCACGCCCUAAUAAUGUGAUUAUGCAUUCCAAAAUUUAGAACUGGGGAAUUAAACCGGAAACGGUAACAGUACAUUGUAGAAAAACAUUGACAUCGAUUUCUUAAUACUUGGAAAUGGAGGAUUUUUCCAUGAAACAGAUACAUUGUCACCGUAGCAUCCCGUGCUACAAAAAUAUUUGUAAGUUUUCAUUCAGAUAUUGUUAUAUUAUUAGUAAAUGAGUUCAUAAUAAUGAUUUACUGGUGUCAUGUAAGUUGUUUAAAAAUAUAUAUAUAUAAAGAAAGGGUCGACUAAACUGGGCGUAAAUGGUCAAUUUGGUAACGUUUUGACCAAAGAAAUGGCCACGAUCUCUCGCACCCGAACUGAACUAGUUUGGACAUAAUUGAUCCAUGAAUUCAAAGUUAAAUAGUUCAACUAAGCUGAGACUGCGUGAUGAACACUCGCAGAAGACAAAAUGGAAAUGCUAAAAAUUCAUUCAAGUUGGGAGUCGGGAGUCGUAUCGAGCAUUCAUGCGUCCGUGUUGGUUUGGUUCAUCGAGUUUCUACUAUAUAUGUUUGAAUUUAAACAGAGGGGGUCGAGAGAAUGGACCACAUUUCUGUUGAAAUCAAAUCAUGCUAAUCUGUAGCUAUAAUGGACUCUAUAUAUGGAACGUUGGCUACAGUACCUGUCUGUCUCAAUCUCAUCUUUGUAAAGUCAUGGUGCUGAUAAGCAUGAAAGCAGUAAACUAUUAUUGUAUAUGUAUAAAGACAUUAUACAUAUACUAAAACUCUGUUUUUUUAGCACUGUUCAUUAACAGUGAAAGGCAAAAAUGCCCUCGGUUGCUUCUUUGUUAGUUGUAAUGUUGCCUACUUUCUACAAUGAAUUGUUGGUUUUGCCCAUGAUAGCCAUAAUCAUUGUUUAUCUCGAUGCUUCGAUUCUGUCUUCUUCGCUUUACCUUUCAAAUUGGUUUUGUCCCUCAUGAAUCUCUGCUUUUGUCCGUCUUCAUCUCGCUCUCUUCCUCUCAAAUCAUGUGUUCUUUUUUUCGCAAAAUAGUCACGAGUAAAUUUGGUUUUCAUUUAUAUGGGGAUGAUGUUUCUAGUCUCCAUUUCCAGAAUAGUCUUGCAUAUCUGUAAAUAUUAGACUAGAAAAAAAAAACAAAAAACAAAAAAGUUAGCAUUCAGUCUUUAGCUACUAAUGUUCUUUAAUUGAGGUCUUACUAGUUUUCAAAUUUUUAUCGAAGUCUCUAAUGUAUUAAUGAAUUUACAUGUUAGUUACAUAAUUUCUUAAAAUAAACAUUGGUGAUUGAUUUAGGGUUUUAAUACUCACAAAUACAUUAAUCUCCUAAUUAAUAUUCAAUUUAAAACAUUUCCAAAAUUAUAAAAUAAAAUAAAAUAAGUUUGUGCUUGUUGCAUAUUAGAUUAGGAAUGUAAUUGUACAAAUCCUAAAGUAUUUGGGAUAUCCUUAGAAGAUUCUCUAGGGUUAGAUGUUAUCCUAAUAGAGUUGUAAUCCUAUUAAGGUCAAGAAUUUACCUUCCCUACUACUAAUAGAGUUUUUAUCCUAUUAGGGUUAAAUGAGGUGAUAAACACACACCUCACAAUACACAUCUCUCUCAUCUCUCUUCUCUCUUUAUGCAGUCGGCCCCUCUCUCCCUAUCUUUAUUAUAUUUCAGUAAAUUAGGCUUACAACAGUACUCAUUAAUUUUAAAAACAAUUACAUUAUCCAAAUUAUAAAACUAUAUUUUGGACAGAAACCAAGGAUUUGAUUUAUUUCAAAGAGUGACAAAAUUUAUUCAUAUGCACGUAAAUGAUGUUAUGGUUGUUUUUCUAAUUGCUUUUUGCAUUUAUAAUUUUACCCCUUUAUAAUUGAAAAUGAGUCAUUAUGUAUUGUUUCUUUCUCUCUCCUCUUAUUUCUUCUUUGUCUUUUUUCUCUCUACCUUCUCAUUCUCACUCAUGUCUCUGUCCCCUCCCUCCUCCUUAGAGCACUUUCACCCCUCUCAAGUUCCCUAGGGGAUAGUGAAUUAAAUCCCUU
rnacentral:lncRNA from 1 species